rnacentral:rRNA from 1 species
UACGUAGGGUGCAAGCGUUAAUCGGAAUUACUGGGCGUAAAGCGUGCGCAGGCGGUUCUGUAAGUCAGAUGUGAAAUCCCCGAGCUCAACUUGGGAACUGCGUUUGAAACUACAGGACUAGAAUAUGUCAGAGGGGGGUAGAAUUCCACGUGUAGCAGUGAAAUGCGUAGAGAUGUGGAGGAAUACCAAUGGCGAAGGCAGCCCCCUGGGAUAAUAUUGACGCUCAUGCACGAAAGCGUGGGGAGCAAACAGG